GACGAACGCUGGCGGCGUGCUUAACACAUGCAAGUCGAACGGAAAGGCCCUGCUUUUGUGGGGUGCUCGAGUGGCGAACGGGUGAGUAACACGUGAGUAACCUGCCCUUGACUUUGGGAUAACUUCAGGAAACUGGGGCUAAUACCGGAUAGGAGCUCCUGCUGCAUGGUGGGGGUUGGAAAGUUUCGGCGGUUGGGGAUGGACUCGCGGCUUAUCAGCUUGUUGGUGGGGUAGUGGCUUACCAAGGCUUUGACGGGUAGCCGGCCUGAGAGGGUGACCGGCCACAUUGGGACUGAGAUACGGCCCAGACUCCUACGGGAGGCAGCAGUGGGGAAUAUUGCACAAUGGGCGGAAGCCUGAGGCAGCAACGCCGCGUGCGGGAUGAAGGCCUGCGGGUUGUAAACCGCUUUCGCCUGUGACGAAGCGUGAGUGACGGUAAUGGGUAAAGAAGCAACGGCUAACUACGUG
rnacentral:rRNA from 1 species